rnacentral:pre_miRNA from 1 species
CUUGAUGUCAAAGUGGUUGUGACAUGUUGUUUAACUUUCAUAUCACAGCCAGCUUUGAUGACAAGAA